GUAACGAGCGCAACCCUUGUCCUUAGUUACCAGCACGUUAUGGUGGGCACUCUAAGGAGACUGCCGGUGACAAACCGAGGAAGGUGGGGAUGACGUCAAGUCAUCAUGGCCCUUACGGCCUGGGCUACACACGUGCUACAAUGGUCGGUACAAAGGGUUGCCAAGCCGCGAGGUGGAGCUAAUCCCAUAAAACCGAUCGUAGUCCGGAUCGCAGUCUGCAACUCGACUGCGUGAAGUCGGAAUCGCUAGUAAUCGUGAAUCAGAAUGUCACGGUGAAUACGUUCCCGGGCCUU
rnacentral:rRNA from 1 species